UUUCACAUUGAUAAAGAUUUC
rnacentral:piRNA from 1 species